GUGAAACUUUGCUUCAUUGGGAUACUUGGUGCUGGUCGGUUGGAGCUAAGACGUUGGCAGUGAUUAAGAAGAGACCAGCAUCACUGAGUAUUGGGGAUGGAGCCCAGGACUUAUGUCAUACUGGGAGGCCUGUGCCUUCCAGAGAGUCACGACACCCAGCUCCGGCACUCAGCUCUUUGGGCCAGGAAGACUUCAGGCCUCUCUAGAGUUUUUUUUCCUUGUCCACAUGGCCUGCACCAUGGUCUGACCUUGGAAACUCACCUGGCACCAUUCCCUCUUCCUGUGUUGUUCCCUUACCAGAACCUGCAUCUGAGGUCAUGCUCUGGGGUUAGCUAGGCAAGUGUUGCUAUAUUGUUUUCACCCAGAGUUUGAGGUGUGACCCGAGGAAGAGUUAAUUUUGCCGUAUGAGAAACACAAGCCAGCUUGUCAACUUCUGUGAUCAACGAUUAAAAAAAAAUCUGGGGUUUAAACUUAA